rnacentral:rRNA from 2 species
UUGGAGGGCAAGUCUGGUGCCAGCAGCCGCGGUAAUUCCAGCUCCAAUAGCGUAUAUUAAAGUUGCUGCAGUUAAAAAGCUCGUAGUUGAAUUUCGGGACCAAUAUGUCGGUCGUGCCUCGGUACGUACUGGCAUCGUUGGUUUCUCCCUUCUGACGAACCACGAUGUCAUUAAUUUGGUGUCGUGGGAAAUCAGGACUGUUACUUUGAAAAAAUUAGAGUGUUUAAAGCAGGCAUUCGCUUGAGUACAUUAGCAUGGAAUAAUGAAAUAGGACGUUUGAUCUUAUUUUGUUGGUUUCUAAGAUCGACGUAAUGAUUAAUAGGGAUAGUUGGGGGCAUUAGUAUUCAAUUGUCAGAGGUGAAAUUCUUGGAUUUAUUGAAGACUAACUACUGCGAAAGCAUUUGCCAAGGAUGGUUUCAUUAAUCAAGAACGAAAGUUAGGGGAUCGAAGACGAUCAGAUACCGUCGUAGUCUUAACCAUAAACUAUGCCGACUAGGGAUCGGAUGAUGUUAAUUUUUUAAUGACUCAUUCGGCGCCUUACGGGAAAC